CGCAUGGACUCAGUCCUCAAGAAGCUGGAGAAGGUGUCCCACAUGACCAGCAAUCCUGGUCACACCUGAUUAUCCCUCAUUCCCGUCACCUGGUCCUCACGCCCAUCUCACCUGCAGCCCGUUUCCUCAUUAGUCUCUCACUACUUAGGUCUCCUCAUUUGCAUUUGUCCUUUGCUGGAUUGUCUUGUGUGUUCUGAUCUACCUGUGCUAACCCUGGAUUUGACCCUUGAUUUGUUUGCCUGUUUUGACUGACCUUCUGGUUUUGACUCCCUGAAACUGGAGAAAAAGUAUUUUGCUUGUCCAUCUGAUUCUGAGUCGUGCUCGUGAGUUCCAGUACCUGUAACCCUUGCAGAUAGAAAAGCUUCAUGCCGUUCUACAUUUUUGCUACUCGUUAUGAUUCAUGUUCCUGGGUGAGAGUCGGUUGCAGAGAGAUUUUGUUUGAUUUAGCUGCUGCGUCAGGCAGAAGAUGCUCACAUUAAACCUUGAAUGAUGAGAAGUGAUGCUUCCUGUAGGAUUCAGUAAUAUGUGUUUUCUGCAUCACAACUGCUUUAUGUAAGUUUGUAAACAUACACAACAUAAAUGACAAGCAAAUGGAUGACGCAGAUGAUAAAAUAUGCCACCAGGACAGCUUCAGUCAGAACUGAUGCUCAUAAAUUAGCCAGGAUGGAGUAACUGACAGAUGAAUUCAUUUUGAUGUUAAUGUCAUAUUCUCAUCCUCUAAUUUCACACUUUAAUUUUUAAUUUUACAUCACUUAAAUUUAAGGUCAUAUGAUAUACGAUAUAAGGUGAUAUACGAGACUGGGAGCAUUUCUGUUGCUUUUUUAUGUUUAUGAAAACACGAUUCUUCUCAUCAGGUGAUUAAUGUAGAACAUUAAAUUAUUGGGCUGAUGCUUUUGCGAAACACUUGGUUAAGCUUAACUAAAAGAAUGAUUUUAAGGCUCAUCACUGCCUAAGACUGGGAUUCUGUAAGAAAUCCGACUACCUCAGAAAGACAAAUGGAACUCGCCAGUGUGGAUCAACGGCUCACGACUUCAUGGUGACAAAUCGGGUUCGGUAUCGUUUUAGGAAAUAUCUGAUCAAACGAUAUUAACUCAAUACCUUUCUUGAGAGGUCAUUAGAAACUGCCAACAAAGAGUACAAAUAUAGGAAGACAUGAGAACUAAUAAUUCUAACACUGUUUAUUUAACAUCCGUAUCCGCCUGAUAAAAUACACACAAACGCAGGGGUCCGAGCAUAUCAGAGCAAAACACAAAUACACACGCGGGCGCUGUGUUGAAGGCACCAUUAGCACGCUCGGUUAGCUGAGCAGACUCUAAUUCCCCAGAUUGAUGUGUGAAAGGUGCAGAGGGAAGAUCUGAUGACAUCACACAGAGGGAUUUAGACUUUACUGCACUAUGUCUGUACAGUCACAAUAGUUGUUUGUUGCUAUAUAUAUAUAUAUAUAUGAAGAGAACUCAGGGAAAAGUACUAAAAUGCUUUUCUGGUCUCUUAUUUACUAAAUAUCCAAAGUCCAAAAAGUGACCAAAUCAUUUCUGAGUCAACUCAAUCCUUGUCCUUUUCUUUAUUCUAUAUUAAUUCCUGGUCAUGUGGUCGGUCUAUCUGCCCACUAUUGUGUGUGUUUAGAGAAAAGAAGCACGGGGCACCAGAGUUUAAUCUCUUGUGUGGAGCACUGGAGUGUGAAGGGCCCCUCUGGAAAAGCAGAAGAGAAAUACUUGGCAUCAUUAAAGUAACUUCUUUUGAAUCACUUCUUAAACCCAUUGUUAUAGAACAGAUUUUAAGUGAUGUCGUCCUUUUAUGCAGUUCUUUGGUUCCCCUAAUUUAGUUUGUCUGUUUUUUCUAUUUUCUAUGUGUAUCUUACCAUUCUAUUUGUUUUGCAUUGAUUCUCUGUAGAGCACUUUGUAAACUCUGUUUUUAAAGGUGCUAUAUAAAUAAAGUUAUUAUUAUUAUGAUUGUUA